rnacentral:rRNA from 1 species
CCGCCCGUCACAUCACGAAAGUGGAUUGUACUAGAAGUCUGCAGGCUAACCCGCAAGGGAGGCAGCGGCCCAAGGUGUGAUUCAUAAUUGGGGUG